GGGCUCAACCUGGGAACGGCAUCCGGAACUGUCAGGCUAGAGUGCAGGAGAGGAAGGUAGAAUUCCCGGUGUAGCGGUGAAAUGCGUAGAGAUCGGGAGGAAUACCAGUGGCGAAGGCGGCCUUCUGGACUGACACUGACGCUGAGGUACGAAAGCGUGGGUAGCAAACAGGAUUAGAUACCCUGGUAGUCCACGCCGUAAACGAUGUCGACUAGCCGUUGGGGUCCUCGAGACCUUUGUGGCGCAGUUAACGCGAUAAGUCGACCGCCUGGGGAGUACGGCCGCAAGGUUAAAACUCAAAUGAAUUGACGGGGGCCCGCACAAGCGGUGGAGCAUGUGGUUUAAUUCGAUGCAACGUGAAGAACCUUACCUACUCUUGACAUCCAGUGAACUUUCCAGAGAUGGAUUGGUGCCUUCGGGAACACUGAGACAGGUGCUGCAUGGCUGUCGUCAGCUCGUGUUGUGAAAUGUUGGGUUAAGUCCCGCAACGAGCGCAACCCUUAUCCUUGUUUGCCAGCGAGUAAUGUCGGGAACUCCAGGGAGACUGCCGGUGAUAAACCGGAGGAAGGUGGGGACGACGUCAAGUCAUCAUGGCCCUUACGAGUAGGGCUACACACGUGCUACAAUGGCAGAUACAGAGGGCAGCGACGCUGCGAAGUAGGGCGAAUCCCUUAAAGUCUGUCGUAGUCCGGAUUGGAGUCUGCAACUCGACUCCAU
rnacentral:rRNA from 1 species